rnacentral:rRNA from 1 species
GACGAACCGAGCGAACGUUGUUCGGAAUCACUGGGCUUAAAGGGCGCGUAGGCGGGUGCUCAAGUCUGUGGUGAAAUCCUCCAGCUUAACUGGAGAACUGCCAUGGAUACUGGGUGUCUCGAGGAAUGUAGGGGUAUGCGGAACGAUUGGUGGAGCGGUGAAAUGCGUUGAUAUCAAUCGGAACUCCGGUGGCGAAGGCGGUUCUCUGGGCCUUACCUGACGCUGAGGAGCGAAAGCGUGGGGAGCGAACAGG